rnacentral:rRNA from 1 species
UGGGGAAUUGUUCGCAAUGGGCGCAAGCCUGACGACGCAACGCCGCGUGGAGGAUGAAGAUCUUCGGGUCGUAAACUCCUGUCGAGCGGGACGAACGCUUCGCGGAUGAAUACUCCGCGGAAUUGACGGUACCGCUAAAGGAAGCCCCGGCUAACUCCGUGCCAGCAGCCGCGGUAAUACGGGGGGGCAAGCGUUGUUCGGAAUUACUGGGCGUAAAGGGCUCGUAGGCGGCCAACUCAGUCGGAUGUGAAAUCCCCAGGCUCAACUUGGGAACUGCAUCCGAUACUGGUUGGCUUGAAUCCGGGAGAGGGAUGCAGAAUUCCAGGUGUAGCGGUGAAAUGCGUAGAUAUCUGGAGGAAUACCGGUGGCGAAGGCGGCAUCCUGGACCGGCAUUGACGCUGAUGAGCGAAAGCCAGGGGAGCAAACGGGAUUAGAUACCCCGGUAGUCCUGGCCCUAAACGAUGAAUGCUUGGUGUGACGGGUAUCGAUCCCUGUCGUGCCG